rnacentral:rRNA from 1 species
CAGCAGCAGCCGCGGGAAUACAGAGGGUGCGAGCGUUAAUCGGAUUUACUGGGCGUAAAGCGUGCGUAGGCGGCUUCUUAAGUCGGAUGUGAAAUCCCUGAGCUUAACUUAGGAAUUGCAUUCGAUACUGGGAAGCUAGAGUAUGGGAGAGGAUGGUAGAAUUCCAGGUGUAGCGGUGAAAUGCGUAGAGAUCUGGAGGAAUACCGAUGGCGAAGGCAGCCAUCUGGCCUAAUACUGACGCUGAGGUACGAAAGCAUGGGGAGCAAACAGGAUUAGAUACCCCGGUAGUCCCUGUCUCUUAUAA